ACCCCCUGCUCCUUCAAGAUGUUACAGAAGGAAUGGCAGCCAUCGGGCAAGAAGAAGAAGAAGAAGAGGAAGAAGAAAAAUAAUUCCACGAGCCAUGGCCGGGACCAGCCACAGCAGCGAACCUCAAGGGCCGGCAGCGCCACGGAGAGCUGCUCCCAAGCAUUGCCACACAGAGCCCCCAGCCCCCCCGAGGUGGCUGUCACACUCCAGAAGAGGUAACAGAGGGACUGUCUGGGGUUGAGCCAGUCCCACUCCGGGUGUCUCCCCCCAGGGUGAUUUGGGCCCCCACAGCAGAGGGACCGGUGCUGGGCAGGGUCUUCUCACCUGUGUCCAUCUGCUCCCUCGGUAGGACGAGCUUGUUCAGCCUGUGCAUGGCUAUGUACGAUGAGGAGGGAGAAGAGCAGGAUGAGGCUGGUCUGGAGCCAGAAGGGAAGCAGGUCAAUGUCGGAGAGAUGGAGUUUCACCUACCCCCAGAGGAAAUCCACUUACCAGAGCAGAAUUACCAGGAGGUGCUGGAGGACGUGGCAGUGGAUGGGGACGUGGUCGACAUCCCGGACCCAGACUUUAAUGUGGGCACCAUGGAGGUCCCCUUACCCAGCGAGGAGCUGCAGGAAGCCCUAGGACACACCAGAGAGGACACAGCCUCUGUGGACAGUCUGUGCUCUUACCUGGCCACGCUGGAGACCUGCUUGAUCCCAGAGCUGCAGGAGGAUCCUGUCCUGGAUGGUAUCGCUCUGGCUGCCCUUUCCCUGUCAUUGCCAAGGCCUGAAAUCUCCCUGGAGAGCCAGUGCCUGCAGCUGGCGAGGUGCCUUGCUCCAUUCAAACAUUGCCUUGGCUCUAUCAUAGGGUACAAAGAAGACACCCAGGACCUCGACUCCAUCCCGGGCUCUGUGGCCAGAGAGGUCAACUUUGCCAGCAAGGAGAAUCUGGAAGCCUUAAGAGACAUGGAAGGUAAAGGAAGGUAUCUGAGGUCUUCUGAGGAAGCCUAGGAAUCUCUGGAAACCAACAGAUUAGUUAAAAACCUUCAUGGAGUUAAUCCAUGAAGGUGGUGA
rnacentral:lncRNA from 1 species